AUGCAUUGAAAAUUUAUCUCGAGCUAAUUGUGAUCAAAUGGAUCACAACGAUGUAAAAAUGGAAAUUAAGUGUUUCUGAACUUAAUGAGUAGCUUGAGAACAACAAUUGACAUGUUUUGGAAGUGUGAGAAUAGACACGAAUGGAAUCGAAGUGGCUAAAGACAUCCAAUUGCCAUUACUACUUGAAUGCUGAAGUUUUAGUCGAUUUGGUCAAAAAUGAUCAAAUUGAUGCCGAAUUGGAAAUUAAUCACUUCCAAAUUAAUUUGACAGCUUGUGGAGGUAUAUUAGGGUAAAUUGGAAGUUUUGGAAUGGAAUAGAAGUGAGUUGGUUGUGCGAAAAGGCCUCCAAUUGCUGCUACUGCCAAAGUGCUGAAAAUCUUAGUUAACCUUGAUUAGAAUGGUUAAGUUAAUACUAAAUUGAGAAUUAAAUGUUACCAAAUUAAUUUGGUAGCUUGGGAAGCUUCCUUGGAUGGUUUUAGAAGUGUUUGAAUGAAAUUGGAAGGAAUUAGAUGUGAGAAAAAGGGAGUUGAAGCAGCUGCUGCCAGGUUCUAGUUAGUGCAGGGACUAAAGUGUAAAUUGCAGGAUUGCAAUGCACUUUUAAUGAAAUUGAGGGUUAAGUUGCAAUUAUGCAUCCUUAUCACUUUAACCCAGCUGGGGGGAAGGUGUACACGUGCUGGUUAAACCCCUCCAUCAGCUUCAUUUCAUCUAAUUCCUCUCUCAUUCUCUCUCAGCCCUAGAGCAAUUCUAGUGAAGAAGCAAGCAGGAAGUUGGCAGCCGGGGUGCUUUCGAACUUGUAGAAGCUGCCAAGCCGGAAUUCGGAUGAUCGGAGCUGGGAGUAAGCUAGGGAAGGUCUCUAAUUAAGGGGGGGGCUGAGCAAGAAGGAAGUAGUCCUGAAAAUUCAGCAUAGUGCAGAAAAUUUCAGCGUAAGCCGGAAUUCAGCAAGUAUUGACUUUCAGUAUUGGAAAGUCUUAUUAUUGGAGCUACCCAAUUAGAAUUCAGCUGAAAGGAAGAAGUUGAGCUGAGGGAAAAGGUCUUGUGCAGGAUUUUUUUGUAGUUGAAAUAUUGACCUAAAGUGUAGCAGACUUGGAGAGUUGGGCUGAUUGGAGUCACCCAAGCGAAAAAUUCAGCUAAGCAAGGUUGAAGCCUGAGGUCGGCGACGCACGGAUUACGGUAGAAGCCGUUUAAGCUCUAUUUGCGCGGAGUCGCAAGAGCUUGUUAUUGACUCAGUUCGAGACGCUGAUUCUAGCUGUUGGCAUCCCUACAGGUGGGUGGUGCUAUCCGAAAUCUUUGAAUCACCUUUUAUGUCUAUGAUAAUUCAUUGAGCAUAUUCAUAUUUGUAGUCAUGCAUUAUAAGGUAUUGGCAUUGUGCAAGUGAAAGUAUGUAUUCCUAUCAACAGUGAGAACAUGUGAACAUUAGAAUGUGAAUAUAGAACCCUAUGAAUGUAUGGACUAUAGCAAUAGUAAACUUUGUGACAUUCAAUUAGAGAGUUAGUUAGCAUCGAGAAAAAGAAUUGUGAAACUAGCAUAAAGAGCUAGUUAGAGUUAAGUGUGACAUCGUCUAUUGUUGAAUCCUCUAAAGGAGGAUCAGAUCAUACUCACAUUCG